rnacentral:lncRNA from 1 species
CAGCAUCUUAGAAUCCAGACUUGGGGACUCUGCCUCCCAAGACCAUUCAUAAGUAGUGGGAGAGGAGGUGAUAGAGGGAUAUUUGGUCAUGGGGGAGCCAUUCUGGAAGAUUCUCUUCAAACUGUGCUGGUGUGAUCAUGCCUCAGGUGCUCAUGAUCUUGGGAUCAACUCUUGUCCUUCCCCUGUCACUUCCCCACCACACUCCGUGGAGCCACCUCCCAAUAACCACAGAGCGUUAAGUCCUUGUCCUAGGUUUUGGUUGUCCUAGGCCAAGCAGUUGCACUAGCAGUGCUCCUGGAAAGCAAAUCCUCCAAGUGGAACUUAGCAUAUGGCAGCAAAGGUCUAUGGGUAGUAGUAAUUGCGAGGUGAUAACCCAGGGCCUUCCCAUAAAGUCAUCAUCAGGACUCACCUGUGCUGAGUUAAGAUGUACAGGGGGAGAUGGGGUUAUGUGAAAGCUCCACAACAGGGUAGUAUGGAAUCAUGGAAGUGGUAAUUGCUGACUAAGGUGGCUGACUUCUAUUAUCUGCCAUGGAAAGCCUUUUAAAACUGGCAGGCCCAUCACCCAGCUGUCAGCUUAUGGCACGCUAUAAAAACCAGAAGGCCUUGUGGCACAAUGUAGGGACUGAUCUGCAGCUGCAAGGUAGAGUGCCCUGAAGUUCAGUUCCAAGAUUUGCUCAUGACUGCAUAAGAGACUGCAGGUAUAUCCUUGGCAGGUUUCCUUUGCCAAAAUCAAGGGCUUGAAAUGUAUCAGGAAAAUUGAGGUGGGAGGGGAUCUUGAGGGUAUUGGACCAAGGCUGUGACUGGAAGUGGGAUUUAAUAUCCUGGCAAGGAUGUCAAAGUUUCUCCCUGGAAAUGUGGAUCUGGUGAUCUCCAGAGAAAAUGAGGAUUAGACACCAGCACUUGGGAGAGGUCCUGCAUCCUUGAGAAGGUCAAUAGUAUCCAUCAUCUGUAAGGUGACAGCAGGAAAUGUUACCAUGGACCCUUAUUACUGGGUUAAUAGGAUUUGAGAAGAGCAGGGGAAAGGUGGCAGCUCUCAGCCAUCAGAGGUGAACUGAAUAUUAAUUUCUGAGCCAUGACAGCAAGGCCAGAGUGGUGGUAAGGAUGCCACUGCAGGGAUUUGUGACAAUGGCUAAUAGAUCAUGUGUUCCCAGGAGUAAGACAGCCAAUCAGGAUCUUACUCUGUGGGGAGGGAAAGGUUGAAGCAUAAAAGUCUAGGUCAGCUACCAGGAUGGGAAAUUCCAUUCCUUCACCAGUUUCCACAUCUGCCAGUUUGCAGACCAAAGUCCAUUGAAGAGAAGUUGGUCCCUUUAAGCAAGAAUCAUGUGAUGCCACCAUAUGUUCCCACAAUAGGUAAUUGCUGAUUUGGAAUAACUGAGCAUGAGCAUUGGAGAGAGGUGCUUUAAAGACUUUUGGAUGUGCGUUCUGACUUGAUGCCCAUGUUAGGGAACCUGAAAUGCUAUCAGGUUCCUCUAGUUAAAAGGGAUGAGGAAUGGGGACUAGGUAAUGAUUGGAGAUCUGGCACAGGUCUGGCCCACUAUGGGUUUAGUGGUUUUGGGGAUUAUUUCUCUGUCCCCAGAUGUAUACAUGGAAUAGAUGAGGUAAUUGGGAUAGAAUAAGAAUCACAGUGAUAAGAAGGGUCAAAGAUUGGAAACUGCUUCCCUUUCACACUUGAGGAAGUAAAUCAGAAACCAUACUGGCUCUUGGGAGGAAUCGCAGAUUAGCUCCAAUAUCAGAGACUUAAAGGAUGCAAUGGUAUUUGUCCCUAACUCAUCACCGUUGAACGUACCUCAGAACUCUGUAAAAACCAGAUGGAUUGUGGUGGGUGACAGAGGGCCACUAUAAACAUACAAAGUAGCCCCAGUUUCAGCUCCUGUGCCAGAUGAAAUAUUUUGAGACAAAUCAACACCGCCUCUGGCACUUCAUAUGUGGCUGUAGAUUAGGCAAAUACUAAAUUCCUAUCAACAAGGAUCAAAAG